rnacentral:rRNA from 1 species
GGGGAAUAUUGGACAAUGGGGGGAACCCUGAUCCAGCCAUGCCGCGUGUGUGAAGAAGGCCUUAUGGUUGUAAAGCACUUUAAGCGAGGAGGAGGCUACUUUGGAUAAUACCUAAAGAUAGUGGACGUUACUCGCAGAAUAAGCACCGGCUAACUCUGUGCCAGCAGCCGCGGUAAUACAGAGGGUGCGAGCGUUAAUCGGAUUUACUGGGCGUAAAGCGUACGUAGGCGGCUUUUUAAGUCGGAUGUGAAAUCCCUGAGCUUAACUUAGGAAUUGCAUUCGAUACUGGGAAGCUAGAGUAUGGGAGAGGAUGGUAGAAUUCCAGGUGUAGCGGUGAAAUGCGUAGAGAUCUGGAGGAAUACCGAUGGCGAAGGCAGCCAUCUGGCCUAAUACUGACGCUGAGGUACGAAAGCAUGGGGAGCAAAC